rnacentral:lncRNA from 1 species
UGCAUUUCCCAGGAGUACAAUCAUGUUUGAAAAUCACUUGUGACCUCCCACGCCCUAGCCCUGAUUUGAACCCAUUUAAAUCUUAUUUUAAACAUAUCAGUACUGAAUUCUGAAUUCUAAAAGUUGAAAAGCAUAUUAUUCUGUAAAAUUCAGGUAGGAGUUGCACGCCAUAAAUAAGUAGAUACACCAAAAACAAUACAACACAUUUUGCACUGAAUAUUAAAGCUAUCAGCAAACAGAAGCUUUGCUAAUCAAAUCCUACAAAAUUGAAAAGUUGGUUUAAGCAGCAGAAUAUAUACCCCUUUCAUUAGUUGUAAAAUGUAAGAUUUCAAUAACAUUUAUCCCAUAAAUGACUUUUCAAACAACUUUAACCAGAGCUUUUUGUGGCUUCCCAUUUAUAUGCAAAAGUAUCAUAGAACCCUAUAUCACUAAGUUGGUUUUGAAGUAGUUUAAAAGAACCUGUUCUUCUAUAGACAAUGUUGUAGACAUUUAUAACUCUCUAAAGGGUCGACAACAGGUCAUGCACUUCAAUUGUAUCCAUAUUUAUACAUGUUAAGGAAUUUUCAUGCAAUUUUGUCAUAUCAGUUUUGGUAAACUAAAACGUCAUAGCUUCCUUUCUGGAUAACCUCAAGUUGAUACCUGCAAAAUUUUUUCACACAAAACUCGAAAUAGAGAAUAAAAUGUUCCAUCUAAAGAGAUAGACAGACUAAAUAACAACUCAACCCAUUAGAGAUCAACCAACCCAAUUAAGUAACAAAAGCACGCAUUUCGAACCUUUGAAAGGAGCGGUUGUGCCUCUUCAAUAACAACAGCAAACCGCUCAGCUAGUGAAUAUGCAUUUGCUAAACCUAUUCCUUCCGCUUCACGCCCAAGGCGAGUGAAUAUCCCAACCAAUGCAUCCAAGCUGACGCCUUGAUAUCCCUUUAUCUUUUGCCGGUCACACACGAUUAGGCCCUCCUUGACACAGUGUGGAUCAAGAGGCCCUAUAGAAGCAGUUGGGAUUGGAUUUCGAGGCGUUAUAUCAAUCAAAGUUUCCAUGAGCAGUCCAGACUGAUUCACCUCAACCAAUGAAUUACGCGGGAUUAUUACCUUAUCAUCAUCAACCUACAAUCACAAGAAAAUUCAACAACCAAAUUUUAAACCACAUUUCACAUAUACAUAUUAAAAAUCAACAAAUUCACUGACAUUUCACCUCAACCACAGCUUCAAUACUAUUCAAUGAAGGAUUAACCCGAAUUACACUGCCAACAUUCACCCCACGAAUUCUAACUGGCGUCCCAGUGCAAAUGCCACAAGCUUGCUCAAACUCGAACACAGCCAAGUACUUCCUGAACUUCGACCGCAACUGAAACCCUCUCAACCAAGCCAAGGUAAGCGCCAGCAAAACUGCUCCUGAAACCAAAAAAAUCCCGACCCCACCUUCCCAAAUGCUCCUCCUCCCAAACCCAAAAUCACUCAAUGGCCGCAGAGUCUGCCUCCAAAUGUUCUUAGGAAUGUCCAAAACAACUGCUAACGGAUUCUUUGGUUCAGAAGAUGAUGCAGGUUGCUGUUGGCCACUACCCGUAUUCGCAGAUGAUGUAGCUUUUACACUAAAGACUCCAUUUUUAGGCCUUCUAGAUAUACUUAGGCAUGGAACAAAGUUCAGGGAGCCCUUUUGAGAAAUGGGGUUUAUUAAAUAUGAAGGAAAUAGGACAGAGCUAGCAGCUGAAACAUGGAUAAUCGAAUUCCCCACCAUUCUUGGGUUAAUCUGUCUAUUUACACAGCUCCAAUAUCAAUUGUAAGACAAACAUUCAAAACUUUCUCGGGAACCCAUGUUUACUUGGAGAAGUGCUUUUCAAGGAAUAUUAUUAUAAGCCCUCCCUAAAUUCACCAUUACUUUGCUUAAAGUGCUUUCAAUCCUGUUCAGGUCAAAAAUAACCUUUAUGUAGUCGUAAAUGCCACAUCAGAUGUCAAUAUUUUAUUUCUUUUCAUCAUUUCUGCAGCUUGCAUGAAUUUGAACUUAAAAGAAGUUGGAACACAUCAACCAACAUACCAUGCAGAUGCAUGUUUGCUGGUGACAUCAACAAUAUUAAUAAUUGUCAACUAAUCAGUAGCAGUGCACACCUAGAGAGGAUAAGGAACUUGCAGCAAGAAAGAAGAGCAUUCAACUUUCUAAUUUGAUAAUACAGAGGAGCAGGAAGUGAGACAAAUCAUUUAUCUUGGUGCUCUAAAACCUACUUAUAUGAAGAGCAUGCAUGUGGCUCCGGAAGAAAGCCAAGAUUGUGCAACAUCUGAUAAUCACGAAAAAAUUGAACAAGGAAACAAUAAAUACCUCACUAAGCAAAGAUCUUUUAGGCCUUGGGGUAUGAUCCAAAAAAUCAAUCCACCCAGAAAACAAGCGUCCAUUUAUGGAAAGCUUUUCCAUGUUACCCAUUGAAACCAACACCUUAUGCACAUGUACAAACACAAAGAGGACCAGUUCAAACCACAAAUAUGACUAAGGUUGGACUUUUACCGCAUGUCCUCAGAGGCUUGUGUCAGGCUUUUCAUUAAACUCUCAGCUUCCUUCAGCAAACCACUAUCUCGAACUUCUGCCAGCAAAGGUUGAACAUCUUCAGUCAUGGCUUUGAUCUGAAACAUCACUAAAUCACAAACAAGAAACAGUAUGCAUGAGUAUUCAGUAGAUUAACUGUCAGAAAAGACACUAAAUUUAAUCACACCUCACAUAAGGCGAAGUCUUGCUAGCACAUGCCAAAAUCACAGGCCAUUCUACAAACACUACAUUGUAAUCCAUGAUCAAUUAUAGCAUCAUUCAAAGGAUGACGCCUGAGCCAUGUCCAAUGCUUAACCGCCAUACUAGGAAUCUAUUUACCAAAUACAAAGGCAAUCAACAGACAAGGAAUGUCAUUUUUCAGCAAGAAGACUGGCAAAACUGACAGCUUUAAUUACAGCAAAAACAACCGCCAAUAGUAGGAGGUUUCUUAGACAACCCAGUAACACAAGCACAGAAAUAUCUACCGUAAAAACUCAGAACACCAAGGUUAUUUGGAUACUUACAACAUAUGCAUGACAGCAUUUACAAAUUCCUGAAAUUAACUCAGCUCGCUAACCUAAAGUUGUCAGAAUGACUAUGACUGACUUUCUGAAGAAUACUCGCUUAAACAACUUAACAGACCUUUCCAUUUAAAAAGAGUAUGCCAAGGGUAUCACAAACAUAACCCUGAAUUUCUCCUGUUCACAUUUCCACAUUUCAAGAGAUGUUAUUGCAAAACUUGACAUCUGCACCUCUCAAAAAGCAGCAAGAGAUGUUAUCGCAGCAAAAUUUCCACAUUUCAAGUUAUUCAGCCCUGAUGGUUCUUUAUACAAAUACGAGAACUCAUUAUCCAGAACAGGAUUAAACCAUUUGUUCCCAAAACUAUCUUUGGCACUCUUGUAAGCUCUGCCAAAGCCUUCAAAGCACUUUUCUAACCUAAUUACAUGACGAAAUUAACACACUUUAUGCAUUUUCUGCCAAGAGACUUUUCAAGUAUCAAGUUUUAAUGUGUUAACUAACUCAUACUAUAAUAAACAAAUAAGAAAGAAGUUAAUUCUUGCAAGUUGCAACAUUAAAAGAGAAUCAAAUAACAUAAAUUAAUGUUGUUUCGCUGAAAAAUGAAUAUUUGAAUUUCUUCUGUUCAGUAUGCAUUAAAAACAUAUACUGAUCUCUUGUGGCCAUAUGAGACUGCUGGGGCAUCAGCUAAUAUUUUCCAAUAUGACUUAAUACCCGCCAUGCAUUUCCCAGGAGUACAAUCAUGUUUGAAAAUCACUUGUGACCUCCACGCCCUAGCCCUGAUUUGAACCCAUUUAAAUCUUAUUUUAAACAUAUCAGUACUGAAUUCUGAAUUCUAAAAGUUGAAAAGCAUAUUAUUCUGUAAAAUUCAGGUAGGAAUUGCACGCCAUAAAUAAGUAGAUACACCAAAAACAAUACAAUACAUUUUGCACUGAAUAUUAAAGCUAUCAGCAAACAGAAGCUUUGCUAAUCAAAUCCUACAAAAUUGAAAAGUUGGUUUAAGCAGCAGAAUAUAUACCCCUUUCAUUAGUUGUAAAAUGUAAGAUUUCAAUAACAUUUAUCCCAUAAAUGACUUUUCAAACAACUUUAACCAGAGCUUUUUGUGGCUUCCCAUUUAUA